rnacentral:snRNA from 1 species
GUACUUACCUGGAAGGAGACAGCAUGAUCAAGGGGGGAGAUUUUCUAGGGUAAGGCUUAUCCAUUGCACCCUAGAUGUGCCGACUCCCACAAUUUCCCCAAAUGCGCGAAACCCGACUGUAUAAUUUGAGCAGUGGGGACUGCGUUUGCAUUCUCCUC